ensembl:rRNA 5S_rRNA 5S ribosomal RNA
GCCAGCAGCCAUAUCACCCUGCAACUCACAACUGGCAACUCACUGAAGCUAAGCAGGUGUGAGCCUGGUCAGUACCUGGAUGGGAGACCUCCUGGGAAAAACAUAGGUUGCUGGUGGAA